rnacentral:rRNA from 1 species
UACGUAGGGGGCAAGCGUUGUCCGGAUUUAUUGGGCGUAAAGGGCGCGUAGGCGGUUUCUUAAGUUUGAAGUGACAGUGGGUGGCUUAACUACCCAAGGCCUUUGAAAACUGGGGAACUUGAGGGCCAGAGAGGGACAUAGAAUUCCGGGUGGAGUGGUGAAAUGCGUAGAUAUCCGGAGGAAUACCAAAGGCGAAGGCAGUGUCCUGGCUGGCAACUGACGCUGAGGCGCGAAAGCUAGGGGAGCGAACAGG